CUUUUCCAGGGGAUCUUCCCGACCCAGCGAUUGAACCCGUGUCUCUUGUGCCUCAUGCGUUGCAGGCGGAUUCUUUAUUGCUGAACCACUGGGAAUUUCUCAUACAUGGCAAGUUGAGCUAACAGACGUCCCCCCCCUUUACUAUGGGACCAUCUGGUUGAAGAAUCAUAAUCAGAGAUACUUUGGCUCCUGAAACAACAAUUAACGAAUGUCGCAAGACAAUGGUUAAUCCCAGCCUCUUCAUUCCUCCUCUUUAAAAACCCUAACUCAUAGACUAAGGUGAGGUAGAUUUGAGGUUUGUCUCCCACUCUC
rnacentral:lncRNA from 1 species